rnacentral:rRNA from 1 species
UACGUAGGUGACAAGCGUUGUCCGGAUUUACUGGGCGUAAAGAGCGCGCAGGCGGUCGUUCAAGUCGAGUGUGAAAGCCCCCGGCUCAACUGGGGAGGGUCACUCGAUACUGAUCGACUCGAAGGCAGGAGAGGGUAGUGGAAUUCCCGGUGUAGUGGUGAAAUGCGUAGAUAUCGGGAGGAACACCAGUGGCGAAGGCGACUACCUGGCCUGUUCUUGACACUGAGGCGCGAAAGCUAGGGGAGCAAACGGG